AAAAAAAAACCGAAAGAAACAUUCAGAUUCGCAAGCAAAGAAAUAACGAGCAGGAAAGCAUUCCAGAAGAUCUCUCUGCAACACAUCUAAUCCUUCUCUUUCAUUCAAUAAUCACUGUGUUCUAAGAAAAUUUUUUCGGUAACCUAUGAUACUGAUGGGAAGCUGCCUCAAGUUCUAGUCCUCUGAGUAUAGUCUAAUCCAUGAAGGCCAGCUCUCAAAAUUAGGAAAAGAGAUUAAAUCUGCUACAGAUGAAAACAAUAGGGGAUGUUAUAGAGGCUCUGUGAUUUCUAGGCCACCAAAGAGGAUGAUCAAUUGAUCCCAAUUCUUCUGAUAAAAGCUAGAAUGAAAUUCAUCAGGACCAGGAGCACUAUUCUUUGGAAGUCCAAAAACCGUAUUCUUGGUUUCCUCUAAGGUACUGUCAUCUUUCAUCAAGGAUUGGACAUAAUUCCUCAUUCGUCUUCUACUAACCACAAAAUGAAAAUAUUUGAGAAAAGAAUGGGUGAAUGAUCUGAAGCACCUAGAGCCAGAGUAAUCACGUUGGAGUGAGGAAAUUGUGAAAUCCAUUCAGUAUUGCAGACAGCCAGAUCCAACCUUUCCUUAACAUUUGCUAGCCCUUGCCUCAUGUUUGACCAGUAAAUUUUAGGUGAUUUUCAAAGAGGCAAAUCUGAAAACACAUGAAGGGAAAAGAGAAGAAGGGCAGGUCAGCUAGCACAAGCCAUUUUAGCUCAGUGGAAGGUGAUUUUAAUCGAUAACUUAACGGGACCAAACAGUGAUCAGGGCAAGGGGAGAGAGAUAGGACCAGCAUAGUGGUGUCAUUGUUGUGAAAGUCUCUGAGAUUGUAUAAUGGACUGAAAACUUGGGUAUAUAUGGGUAUAUGAGUUGCCAUAGGAUUGCAUGCAUGUUUUGAAUAGUGACUUUGUGAAAUCUUAACCCAAUUAUCUGUAUAUGUGAUGAAAUGAAUCAAGAGUAAAGAUUUAGGUGUAUAUGUGUUGAUUUGUUGUACAUAUUGGUGAAUCUUAAGCCUAAGUGUGAAAUUAUGAUAAAAUGAGUGAUUUGAUGUUAAGAUUGAGUAAUACAUAUGUUAUAAAUGUGAAUAUAUGUGAUUAUGUUGAGAAAAAGGCUAAGUGAGCCAAGUUGUACCAA